UGAACAGAUGAUGCUUACUUUUUUGCCCAAAUUUUAAUUUUUAAAAUUUACCUUAAAAAAAAUUAGAGUUGAAGUGGAGAAAUUUAAUGGCACAAGGAGAUAAAAGUUUGCAUGGAAAAUUACCCAUAAAGCCUCCCAGAGACUUUGUAGAUGUAAAAACCAUGGGGUUAAAAACAGUAGAACACAAAUCUACUAUUAAAAGAAAAGUACAUAGAUUUACCUGGCGGAUGAUAUCCAUAAGAUUUACUCCCCAGCACCUACACUUGUCUUCACAUCCAUGACACAACACCACACAUGGUCCUAGUGGACUACCUCAACACCUGAGAGGGCGCAAAUCCUCUCAUGAACCUAAGAAUGAAAAUCACACAAAUUUGAGAAUAUUAGGAUGUUGGAAAGGUUAAUAAUAUUCUUUUGAAUUUUGCAUCAACAUUCAAAAAGAAUUUUAGGCAUAGCAUUGAUAGAGAUGAAGCCCUAGUGGACAAGAUCCUAAAGUUUUCAAAGACCAAUUUUUAGAAGAUGAAAAGAAUUAAAACAUAUCACAAUUCUGAAUUAGGAAAAAUUUACUUUGAAUGCUUGAGCGCUAGGUUUGAGUGCUUGAGCACUUGACCGGUUUUUUAAUUAAUUAAUUAAAAAACCAUUUUAGCUCAAUUAAAAAUCUAAAGUCCACUUUAUGCCUAUUUUAGUCAAAUUAGCCUUUCGCGAAUAUUUCUAUACUUGCUGCAUUGGGGUUGAUCAUGCAACAACCUUGAGUCUUCAAUGGAGAGUAAGACAUAGUAUCCUAGAAAAGUUUUAAGGCAAGGUAAAUAGAACAAAAUUGUCAACUUAAACUAAGCAACCUGAUGCACUAACACAUUUGACAACUAAAAGGGUAUCUAGACGGCCUAUUAAGAAAAAGUAAAGCAUCUAGAUGGAUACUAGCAUUUUAAUGUUGUGUUGCCUCCAAAUUAUUGGCAGAUAAUGACCUCAGAAAAAAAUUGUUUGCAUCUCGUGAAAUUUUAUUACAACUAAAAAUAAAAAUCUUUCCAAACAAUAAUAUGUGGAAAAUUAGAUAAAUAUGUUGUUAAACUAGUAUUAAAAAUUUUCAAUAUGGUGUGCUUUAAAGCUUCUGAUUAAAAAGCUUUACUUUCUGAGUUAUUUGCCUUUUUUUUUUUUUUACUUAGAUAAUCCCCUUUCUCAUUUGAUUUACUUUUUUUUUCCCUAAAAACAUGGGUUGCAUGUGUACACCCACAUCCACUUGCUAUACACUAAAUGGACACUUUGAUGGCCAUAAACAAUAGCAUGGAUUAUGUGCUAAAUUUAUUUGUCCUUACGUUAUGCAUGCACAUAAUUGGAUCAUAAGGGUUACUUGUUUUGCCCUUGACUAAAUUCAGAUGCCCUGCACAAUCAGGUCACAUGUACAGAUUAAAGAGAUACUGAAUCUCCAAUUUUUUUCUUCUCAUCUUACUGACACUACACAAAUAUCUUAUCAACUAAACUUUUCCAGAUACGAGCAUGUUUAUCAUAACAUCCAGCCACAUGUGACAAGGACUCUGCUCCAUGCUUUCUUGGACCCAAUAAAAGCAUUGCCUCAACAUUAUGGGGCAAUUCAGGGGUUGGCAGCAUUUGGACCCAGUGUGGUAUCAUUUGUUCUCUUGCUUUUAGCAUCAAAGGAGGAAUGUUACAACUGGAAAAGUGGCUGUUUUUUAUUUUUUAAAAACAUCAGUUUUUGUAUUACAGAUAUUAAGGAUAACUUCUAGCACUAAAUUUAUGCUAGAUCCAAGGAGAAAUUAAAAAAAUAAAUAAAGGAAAUUGAAGUCCGUAUGUCCCAAGAACCUUUAUCACUACAGAUGCUCUAGUUUUGAGCUUUCACGACAACCCCUACAUUUUCCUCAAAUUUAACCUCUUCGACAUUUUUUCACAGCCACACUAUAACUCCUAUCACCCAAGUACCAUUUAGCUUCCAUUCACUGAGUUUGUAUGCAACUUUUUGUCAUUCUUUUUCAUUUUUUUUAAUUCAUUCUUAGAAUCUCUCUUUGUUAGUUUUUCCAAAUUUAUAAUUGAAGUACAACUCAAGAAGGGGGGAGAAAAGUUAGAUUUCACCAACAAAACCAACAUACCUUCAAAUGCUUUGUGCAGGCAUGUUAAGGGGUGAACCCGCCAUUGAAGAUCGUUGCCCCUAGAUCUGACCCAUUUCAAUCAGGAAUCAACUAGGGUUAUUUCCCUCUCACCAAGACACCCAAAUCCAAGCAUAUGAGGCCACCUGCAGCAUGUAGUCCUCUCCACCAAGAAAUCUUCAGGUUGUUCAAGAUGAUAUAGGCUCGUAUGGGUAUGAUAACCAUGGGUGCUUAAAAGCACAACUUCCCGUGGUGACAUGGAGAGGGAGAUGGCUGCUGACAUGGAAGGCUGGAGGGGUAUUUUUGGAAAUGAAAUUAUAAAACAGUGGAUAGUGCAUGAAAGGGAUAUUUUUGUGGGCAACAGUACACAUAUUUUGGGUUAUGGAAAGUUGGGUUAUGAAAAAGCUAUUAGGCCCAAAUGGGCGGGCCAAA
rnacentral:lncRNA from 1 species